ensembl:lncRNA sodium channel subunit beta-2-like
CACAAUAAUCCAUAGUAUGGCACAUUGUGCUGCUGCUCAUCUUGUUCAGUCGGGAUGUUUUGCUCCCAGUAUCGCUGUUCAAAACAGUAAACAAGUUAGACCAGUCAUGUGUAGUGCCAGGUGCAAUCACAUACCCAUACAGGUUUAGGUCACGUUCAGGUAGGCCACUCAGUCACACCCGAUAGGUUUUGCGGUGCGGGAUGAUGAUGUAGGCGCGUCUUAACGACACAAACUUCAUUCUUUUCACUUCACUUUCCUCAAGCGAACUGAUACGCGUGCUUCUUCUGCAGCGGAAUAUAGACCAAAGAACAAACAUGAAGCCCUUGGCAUUGCUGGCACUUCUGCUCAUCAUGAGUGAGUCUUUUUGAAUAUUUCUUUUAAUAUAUUCAUUAAAAAUAUAUACUUUUUAUUGGUCACAUUUUGUUAUACAUGUUAUUUACAUGAAACAAGUUUGUAAUUUUUUUAUCCAUAUUUAAAACAAUUCUGAUGUUCCUUUAGAGAGCAGUAUAUUUCUUCUUCUUUUUGGUAUAUCUGAUAGUGCCUUUCAAAAAUACAUAUUGCCUGUCUUGGAACGUUUGUAAUCUUUCCAGUGUUUGUAAAGGAAUUUGAGUAUUUUGUCAUGAUAAUUACUGUCUCUAACUGUUCUUGUAGGUGGUUCUGCAGUGGGACAAACGUUGAAAUCUAAUGCGACCGGCUUUGUUGGAAAGGAUGUACUUUUAUCAUUUAACUGUUUUAAUGUCCCUAAAGAGCUGAUAUGGCAGAAAGGUGAUAGAGUAGUGAAUGCUCAUUCGCAAGACAAAAUCAACAUAGAUGAUUCCUACGUGGACAGGACGCAACUCUUCCUAAACGAGGAGAAGAGAAACUGUUCCCUGCUGCUCCGCAACAUCUCUACAGCAGAUGCAGGACUGUACACCUGUCAUGCCCUAGACAGUGUUGAUAACAACAUCUGGUCAAAGGAGUCUACAGAAGUUAAUUUAACAGUGGAGAGCAACCCUGAAAAAGUCGGCCAAACCGAAGAAGAAUCUGUCACAGCUGUCUCUGUUAGUGUUCCCAUAGCGGUAGUAGUGCUUAUACUGGCUGUUAUCCUGCUUCUAAUCCUACUGAACAGAAGACAACAUCGGACAAACACGGUAAACAGUCAAUAUAAUAUGUUUCAAUGUUUUUUAUUUAAAUUAUUUACUAAAUUACACAAAACAUCAUAGCAAAAAAAAUGUCCAGAUACAAUAAAGAUACUAGUCUAAGGGGUUGUUCACACCGAAUGGCUGCUUUUAAAAAAAUAAUUGAACCGUUUAUUCAGCAUCCCACGGCAUAAGCGUCACACUUUUGAGAUGUCAUGUUAAGUUGCAAACAGAUGAACUUAAAAAUGUGCUUCAAGACACCUGAUACACAUUUUUGUUUCAGUCAGUUGCACUCCGUCUAUAAUUCCUUUUAAUUCCAAGAAUAUUACCCUUAAUGACGUUUGAGUUUUGCCAUGGUGCACUGAAGAAAUCGAUUUUAUGACCUCUUCAUAUACAUUUUUUAUAUUAUUAUUUCUAUUUGAAUAAACCUUUUCCUGUAGUGGCCCAAUUCCUUGAAUACGCUCAUGGCAAAAGUAAACCUACACCAGUUGCAGUCACACACUUUCAGAGCACAGCUUUAGGGCUUAAGGUCCUGUGUUUGACACCUUUUUAAUCAUAGUAUCUGUAACAUUUCCAAAAAGCCUGACUGUGAUUUUUUUCUUCUUCUUUUUUGCUAUAGGACACCGAUGAUUUACCGAUUGAGAAACCUAUGCUACAGAAUGUGUGACGUGCUCUUGCUUGACAGUUUAAUGGACUAACUUCUAUGUUGUAAUGCAAGGUCCUUCACAACAACAAUGGACAAUAAGAGGCCUUAGCCCUAAACAAAUGCAUUCGCAUGUGGGCAUUACACAGCGGUGCGUGCCGAUCCGUCUCGCUUCGAGACAGAUUAAUGUGCAGUCUUCAGUUGUAACACUGUUACUUGAUUACUGUUACCACUGAAUUGUGAAUACACUGUGAUUAUACAUUCAGUAGGCAUUACAGUUUUGUAAUUUGACAAGAUUCUCCUUGUAGAAACUGUCUUUAUUCAUUCUUUGAAGAACAGAUGUAAUAGGUAGGGGACGUGCAGUUUAUAUUUUGCCUUUUCCUCUCUCUUUGAGGCACACUGGUGGUCUCAAUCCUAAACAAGCUUUCAAAUCAGUUUAUUUUAUUGUUCAUAUGUGUACAGCAAUCAUUUACUAAGCACUCAUCAUGUAAGCUUCUUUACAUUUACUCUUGUAUGGGUUGUUUUACUCAGCCUGUGCUGAUUUCAUUUAUGUGGAAGAAAUAAUAUGGCACUCCCUAUGGGAUAUGUUUGCUUUUUUUACUGUACUAAAUUUCAUUUACUUUUAAAUGAAUUCUGUAAAGUACUUCAAACCUGCCGAGGCAAUAAACCUUUUACUUAUACAGUUUUUCUUUG